UGUAGUUCUGCUGCAUUUUCUUUGCUUUUGAUUAAUUUAGUUUUACCUUCAAAGAGCUAAAAGUCAAGUAGUGCUUUCAAAUGCAUAUGCCAACCAACUACAUUCUUUUAUUUUAUAUUCUCCAUUCCCAUACUUCUCCUUCUGCCCCCAGAGACACAAAACACAUUAUCUAUUGAUUUCCUGUUAGGUUUGUUUAUACUCAUUCUUUCCCUACUCCAUCUUCCUAAUGUAAAUAGAGAUCAAUUUUGGUUCAAGACAUAUUCAAUGAUUCAUUAUGACCAUGCAAAACAUUGUUGGUUACUAAACCAAGAAGUGACUACAAUUACAUUUCCUUUCUCAGACAACCUUCAGUUUUUCUUGGAAUUGAUAAUUGCUUCAUUUUUCUCUUCACUUUGUUUCCAUUGAAUGUCUAUCCUCCACAUCCUUUACUAACUCUAUAAAAAUGAUUCUUCUAUAACUUUCAAUCUAGUUAAAUCUAUUAAAUAAUUUAUCAGCUCUCUACUCUUCUAGAGAUAUCCCUACUAGAGCAUCUGACCUCCUAUUCUAUCCUGGGCUGGCUAUUUUCAGUAGCAAUCAUCUUGGGACUUUCCCUGGCCACAUCAUAGACAAUCCCUUACCUAUUUUCUCUGUGGGAUACCCUAACUUUUAAUUUCUUCUAUGCAUCUCUGAAUUGUUUAAAUAAUAACAGUAAGAAUGUUUUGUUCUAUUAUAUUUAAGUCAAUCAAAUUCUCCUCUCCUCAAUUUUUAAAUCAAUUUUUUAAAAUCAAGCACAAAGUUUUAAACACCUCAGUACUGUCAGAGGGAGCUCAUCAACUAAAGACUGUGUAACAGCGACGAGCUCUCAAGACCACCCCCCCCCAAGAUUCAAAGGGAAGGAACAGGAGAGAUGUGUGGGGAAGAACUG
rnacentral:lncRNA from 1 species